CACCUGUUUAGGAGAGGUGCUGGCUAGGGGAGGAGAACACCUGUUUAGGAGAGUAGAACACCUGUUUAGGAGAGGUGCUGGCUAGCAGAGUAGAACACCUGUUUAGGAGAGGUGCUGGCUAGGGGAGGAGAACACCUGUUUAGGAGAGGUGCUGGCUAGGGGAGUAGAACACCUGUUUAGGAGAGGUGCUGGCUAGGGGAGUAGAACACCUGUUUAGGAGAGGUGCUGGCUAGGGGAGGUGCUGGCUAGGGGAGUAGAACACCUGGAAAAGGGUGAUGAAGACAACUCCUCUGUGUAAAUGGUUAUUAAAUGAUCUGAGCAUCGGAGCUCCUAGAGUGUGUCUCUCAUUUCUCUCUUGUAGUAACAACACUGCUGUAGCUCUGUCAGGUUUGAGUGUGGCUCUCAUUUCUCUCUUGUAGUAACAACACUGCUGUAGCUCUCUCAGGUUUUCCGAGGCCCUGAAGAGUUCUGGCCAAUCAGCCGUGUUUAUAGGGAAGCGUGCUGACAACACCCUGGAUCUGUCCAAUCAGCAGUGGCACAGCUCAGACAGAGAGGUCUUGUCUUCCUUUAAAAGAGGACUAGACUCUCACUCGUUCAGCGUUGUCCAGUUGUCUUCCUUCUCUGACCAUCUGAAGGCUAUGAUCUCUACUGACCAUCACUACCACACGGUAUAAAUCUGUCUACCUCUCUGUCUGUCAUAUCUACCACACGGUAUGAAUCUGUCUACCUCUCUGUCUGUCAUAUCUACCACUACCACACAGUAUGAAUCUGUCUUCCCUCUCUGUCUGUCAUAUCUACCACUACCACACAGUAUGAAUCUGUCUGCCUCUCUAUCUGUCAUAUCUAUCACUACCACACAGUAUGAAUCUGUCUGCCUCUCUAUCUGUCAUAUCUACC
ensembl:lncRNA